rnacentral:rRNA from 1 species
CAAUAGCGUAUAUUAAAGUUGUUGCAGUUAAAAAGCUCGUAGUUGGAUUUGUGGCGUACGGUGGGUUCCGGGCACUUGUUGUCUGAGUAACUUGCUGUUGCCAUCCUUGGGUGGAACCUGUGUGGCAUUAGGUUGUCGUGCAGGGGAUGCCCAUCAUUUACUGUGAAAAAAUUAGAGUGUUCAAAGCAGGCUUAUGCCGUUGAAUAUAUUAGCAUGGAAUAAUGAGAUAGGACUUUUUUGCUAUUUUGUUGGUUUGCGCAAAGAGGUAAUGAUUAAUAGGGACAGUUGGGGGUAUUCGUAUUCCAUUGUCAGAGGUGAAAUUCUUGGAUUUUUGGAAGACGAACUACUGCGAAAGCAUUUACCAAGGAUAUUUUCAUUAA